UACGGGGGGAGCAAGCGUUGUUCGGAUUUACUGGGCGUAAAGGGCGCGUAGGCGGCCAGCACAAGUCGGUUGUGAAAUCUCCGGGCUUAACUCGGAAAGGUCAACCGAUACUGUGCGGCUAGAGUGCGGAAGGGGCAACUGGAAUUCUCGGUGUAGUGGUGAAAUGCGUAGAUAUCGGGAGGAACACCAGUGGCGAAGGCGACUUCCUGGCCUGUUCUUGACGCUGAGGCGCGAAAGCUAGGGGAGCAAACGGG
rnacentral:rRNA from 1 species